rnacentral:piRNA from 1 species
AUAACAUCUCUCCUCCCUCAUCAUAAUCCAGA